CCUAUUCCAAGUGACCGACUCCGAAUCGACUCAAAUCCCGGAAAUGACUCACACCUGUCUCGGUAUUUUCGUGCUGCUAACCCUGAGCCAGAACCAGGAACCAGUGCUUCCAAACAGAUUCUAACAGUCGGAAGGAUGCGCAGUCAUGAGAACUGAGGAAAGAGACUCACUUUAAUCGCCAUGGAGAGAGUGAUCGGUUCUUUAGUUCAGAUGAGAAGACCAAGUGUGUGAAAUCCUGGCAGGACGCGGCAGACACAGAAGGUGCAGCCCUGAGAUCGAUGUGUCUGCCUGCCCGCCGCAGUAACUUCUUUUCCUGGUGCAUGAGUUCAUCAUUAGUCAAACAGCCCCUAAGCUUCUGUUCUGUCAAAGCAUCCUUGAGGAAAAGCAUGAAAACUCCGGCUAUCAGAUAAGACUGGGAGAGAAGAACAUCACGAUUGAAAAACAAAUAAACAAACAAAAUACAAAUAAAAACACACCACCACUUAAAUCCAUGUUCAUACAAGUUGAAUAAUAAAUACAUAAUGUAUGCUGUA